rnacentral:lncRNA from 1 species
AAAAUUGCGUAUCUCGAUUCUUACUUCCCUCGGCAAAACCUACCUGAAAAAUAACAUGACUUACCAGUAAUGCGAUUCUGAAUCUAAUUUUAACCACAUUUCACGUUGUUAUCUCUAGUUAACAACUUUUUUUGGGGUUAAGUGAUUGUGUAUCACCUUUAACCAUAUUUGUUAUUGUUUAGUGUUAACAAACGCAGUCAGCUGUUUGGUGACAAUAUUUUUUGUGGUUAAGCUAACAGGAUCUAGUUUUUCGUUGUUAAGCUGUUGUUUGCAAAUUUUGCUGUGAAAUUAAAUUGAAGAAAUUUAUAAAAUUGUGUUAAAAAAUGGCGUUUGCAUACAUUGCAUCAUAUUUAUAUGAUAAUGAUAAUGAUAAGAAUUGACCGGCGUAGGCUUCGCGAAAUCGACAACCCAUUCGAACUAACGCCAAGGGAGUUCCGGAGGCUAUAUAGACUUAGUCCCGGCAUGGCUGAAAAUGUGGUGUCGCAACUUGAUAACCAGUUACGAGGAUCACGAAUAACAGUGCUAUCGACCGAAAAGUUCUAGCGGCUCUAAGGUUUUAUGUCACUGGAUGCCAUCAACGCCCAGUAGGAGAACAGUGGGGCAUUUCCAUGAGCCAAACAUCGAUAAGCUGUUGCAUACACCGUGUGACUGACGCGAUCAACAAUUCAAUGUUUACCACUAAAGUGAAGUUCCCUAUGACGCAACUGGAGUGCCAAGCCGCAAAGGAAAUUUUUGCGUCUGCACCUCCACCAUUUGUAGCAGGAACUAUCGGUGCAAUCGACUGCACUCAUGUCUCUAUUUUGGCUCCCAAAAAUAACGAAUCAAAUUAAGUCAAUCACCAUGGGUACCAUUCGAUCAACGUGCAAAUGAUAUGUGACCCAAAUCUUAAAAUUUUAAACGUAAAUGCAAAAUUUCCGGGAGCACGGCAUGAUUCAUUUAUUUGGAGCUUUUCUGCAGCGCGUCGGGUCAUGCAGCGGUCGUUUGAAAAUGGAAAUCACAACACAUUUUUGAUUGGCGAUUCUGGAUAUCCGUUGGAGCCAUGGCUGAUGACACCUCUAUCUAACGAGCCAGAAGGAACGCCAAAGUUUCGGUACAACGAGGCACUAUGUAAAGCGCGUAACCCGAUCGAGAGACUCUUUGGCGUCCUUAAAGGUACAUAGCGGUGCUUAUCACAGCAAAGAGUUCUUUUGUAUGACCCCGGUUUUGCUGGCCGAGUAGUCAACGCGUGCGCAACAUUACAUAAUCUUCGUUUGUGCGAUCAAACAACCGAUUUCGACGAUAGGGUUGUUUAUGAUGCCGAAACACUAAGCACUGAUAACAAUUCUGAAGCACCUUCUUCAAUAGGAAAACGUGUCCAACAACGAAUUAUAGCAAAUUUUUUUUAAAUAUUCACUUUACUAAAUAUAUAUGCCAUCAACGAUCGUCUCGAUGGUAGGCCAGCCAUCAGCCGA